AGUAAUUCGUUGAAGGAAUAAGUAGGCGGAAGUCCUUGUACAGAGAGAAGAUUCCUUGGUUGAGAGAAUCUUUACGAGAAGAGUUGCUGAACGCUACUCCUGAGAGCAGGAUAGUCAGAACCCUGCCGGGCACCUAUUAGCCCGUUAUCCGUAAAACAAGGCGAUCCGUAUAUUUUUCUACGGAUAAGCAGGGUGGUACCGCGUGAGAAGAUAAGCUCUCGUCCCUGAA
rnacentral:ncRNA from 1 species